GGAGAGGUGGCCGAGUGGCUGAAGGCAACCGCCUGCUAAGCGGUUAUAGGGGCUAAAACUCUUAUCGGGGGUUCGAAUCCCCCCCUCUCCG
rnacentral:tRNA from 1 species